UCUGCUCAGACACUUUGCAGGAAACAAAAUUGCAACAAUUCAGAACACGGAAAUGCACCACGCACAUGUGACAAUCGCAGUUCAACAAGGUUGCACUGCUCUCCCCUGAGUUUCAACGCAAUUUGUAAAUAACGUUUUUACUCAACAGUUCUUCACCUGGAACCGAAAAUCUGCAAUCCUUAUUGCACUAACUGAACAAGUUCAGUAAGACAUAAGAUCGUAACAAAUAGAAGCAGGAGUAAGCCAUUCGGCCCAUCAAGGCUGGUCUACCAUUCAAGGAGAUCAAGGAUGAUUGUUGCUUCAACUCCACUUGCCUGCCUGCUCCUCAUAACCCUUGACUUGCUCGUAGACUCAGCCUUGGUGAUUGACACCGGCACCCCCCCCCACCCCCCCAUCGCACGCUAUGGAAAAGAAUUCCAAUGACUUAAUAAUCCUCGGAUGAAAUUCUUCCUCAUCUCCCUCUUAAUUGGUAGAUUUCUUAUGUUAAAACUGUACCCCCUAGUUCUGGGUUACCCUAUGAGGGGAAAUAUCCUCUCAGCAGCUAUCCUGUCAAGCCCCCUCAAAAUCUUGUGUUUCAAUAAGAUCACCUCUCAUUUUUGUAAACUCCAGUGAGAAAAGCCUGCUCAAACUUUCCUGAAGACAACUCCUUCAUUGCAGGGAUCAUUCAAGUGAACCUUCUCUACAGUUGUAGCAAUACUUCCCUACUUUUAUACUCCAUUCCCCUUGCAUAAAAGGCAACAUUUUGUUUGCUGUCCUAAAGGAAAGUGGGAGAAAAUAGGACCCGGUGGCAGUCAACAGCACCUACAAGAGCAGGCAAAAAAAGACCAGAGGAGGUCCACAACAAAAGAGUAGAAGAGCUAUCCACAGUCCAGUAUAUGGCUCCAGAGCGGAGUGGCCGCAAUCUGAGAGAAAUCAAAGUGUUACAUCACAGGAUAUUUGCUGCAUCUGAUCCCCAGUUAGGAGAUGGAGCCCUGAAUGAACCAUAGGGAUAGCCGAGUGGAUGUGACAGGCCACACAGAGGUGACGCUGAUUGAACCCUUACUGUGCAAAACAAAAGUCUCAGCCAACAAUUAUCGCAUAAUUUUCAAGAAACUGUUCUCAGCUGAUAAUCCUCCUGUAGUAACAAAUGCCUUUGUGCAAUGCGGCUUGCCAUAGUCAUGUGACUGCUGAGGUCAUCUUGGGCAGAAGCCAUUUUAUCCACUACAUGGAACAUAAUGACAACUGAUAGCUCUAAGAGUACGAGCCACUUUAAGAAACAGCAGAGAAUAAUUAAAACUUGAGUCUGCAACUUUGUACAGGACAUUGACAGAGGGUGCGUCAGUAUGGCUUUGAAUAUUCCAGUACUGGCUCCUAUGAGGACGAACACAGAUUUAAGAAUGAGUUGGAAAUCCUUUCAGCCUCAAAGGCAAAACUAUUAAAUUGCCACAGAAUUGAACAAGCAACCUGAACAGAUAAGAGUAGCAACUCUUCUCAAUGCUAGGGAAAGAAUGCUACAAGAUUUAUUGAACCCUGGAUCUCAUUGAGGAGCAGAAAAGCAAGGUCUUAUGAAAUUUGAGGCCUUGAAGACCAACUUUGGACCCUCAACUAAUAUUAUUUAUGAACACUACAUGUUCAACACCAGAGCUCAGGAAGAGGAGUGAGAAUACUGAUCUGUAUGUGACCGCAUUGAGAUGCCUAGCUGAAUCUUGUGAAUUUGAGCAGCUGAAGGAUGAUCUGAUCAGAGAUAGGACUGUCUUACAUAUGAGAGAUCCUACUUUUUUUAAAUUCGUUAAGAGCACAUCUGCUGAGAGAAGAGGAACUUACUCUGGAGAAAGCUGUUGAGGUGCAGAAACUAUGAAGUCAUUAAUCAUCAGCUGUAGAGUACUGAUGGGAAAACUGAUGAGGCUUUCCCCUAUGCAGAGAGGCAGUUCAGACAAGGAGUAAAGAAAGAACUAUCUGCAGAAAGGCCAGCCGAAAGAUCAAGGCCAAGCGCUAGAUGUAAAUCUUGCAAAGGGCACCAAACACAAUGAAACAUGUCCUGUUAUGGGCGAGCAGUGCUUUAACUCCAAAAAGCUGAAUCAUUUUGCACACGUUUUUCUAGAAAGAAGAAAAGCAAUCCUAUAAAGAUGAUUGCUGGAGAGAUGUCAGACAAAUCGCUCAAUAACCUACAACAGGAUAGCACCAUCAAAAAUGCUUGCAGGAGGACAGCACCAAGUUAAUGUGAAGUGUCAGACAGACACUGGUGCUACAUGCAAUAUCAUGAGUAUCCCAGACCUACAUGAAGGUUCUUAAAACGGUGACCCGAAAAUAAAGCCAUCGAAGGUAAAGUUGAGGCCACACAAUGGAAUGAUGUUUACCCAGACGGGGCAAACUAAGCUGAGCCCAAUACAAUAGGAAGAAAGCAGAUCUGUGGUUUCAGAUAGUAGACUCUAAGCAAAAUUCCCUCACCUUUGAAAUCUUCGACUGGUAACCCUCCAUGGACCAGAAGAUAUUUGCAGUGUUUUGCAUGGCACAAAGCCAUUGAUUGCUGAAUAAAUCCUGCAAAAUUACAAUUAUGUUUUCACAGAUCUUGGAUGGGAUUAGAAUAGAUAGGUGCUUGAUGGCUGGCACGGACACGAUGGGCCAAAGGGUCUGUUUCUGUGCUGGUUGACUCUUCCUGAUGAAUAUCAUCUUGAAGUAGAUGGGACCAACUCAGCAUCUUCCAAGGAGCAGGUUCCAGCUGUUCUUGAGUGCAGCCUGUUAGACAAAAUAGAAGAGCUUGAAAAGGUGAGAAUAACCAAGGAAGACACAACUCCUACAGACUGGAUGGGCAGCAUGGUAGCAGUGAAACAACCUGGAAAGCUGAGAGUGUUCAUCUAUCCAAAGAACUUCAAUGGAGGCUUUGAAGAAACCUCACUAUCCCAUGCCAAUCAUUGAAGAAAUUUUGCUGCAGCUUUCCAAGGAAAAGGUCCUUCCUACCCUGGAUGUGAAGGAUGAAUUCUGGCGAGUGAAGUUGGAUGAAAGUAGCAGUUUUCUGACUACAUUUUGGAAGCCAUUUGGGAGAUCCAGAUGUUUGUGUACGCCAUUUGGCAUUUCUUCCACUCUGGAAGAGUAUCAGCGCCGACAGUGUGAGAUAGUCAAUGAUCCUCCAGGAGUGGAAGCAGUUUUGGAUGACCUGUUAGUCUAUGGAUGUGGAGAUACGAUGGAAGAAGCCAUUGCACACCAUGAUCAGAAUCUAGUGGGACUACGACAAAGAGCUCACCAGAUGAACCUGAAGCUGGAUAAGCAGAAACUGCAACUGAAGAUGACCUAAGUCAAAUGCAUGGGUCAUUUACUGAGAACAACAGGAGUUUGCCCUGAUCCUCAUAAGGUGAGAGUUGUAGCAGUUGCACAGUAACCAAAGGAUGUGAAGGAGAUGCAACAAUUUGUUGAAGUGUGAACUACCUAGCAAAGUUGUUGGCCAAUUUUUCAUUAUAGCGUGAACAUCUACACAAGCUCACUGCAAAGGGUGUUCAGUGGUAUUGGGGCACAGAACAAGAGCAGCUUUCACUUGCAUCAAACAACUAGUGCCGACAACGCCAGUGCUGAGGCACUAGGAUGUUAACGAUGAAUUCACCCUGCAGUGUGAGACCAGCAACUUGGAGCAACCCUCGUGCAGCAAGGACACCAGUUAUGUUUGCAUCCCGAGCAUAACACAAACUGAAUGAUACUACACACAGAUUGAGAAUGAGUGCCUGGCUAUUGUCUUUGCUUGUGAGCAUUUUAAUCAGUCCCUGUUGGGAGAGAAAAAGUGACGAUAGAGUCUGACCACAAGCCACUUCAAAGCAUCUUUCUCAAACCAUUUCUACCUGUUUCAAAGUGGCUGCAAAGCUUGUUACUUCGUUUGCAGAGAUAUCACUUGGAAGUGAAGUACGAGCAGGGGAAGCAGAUGUACAUCGCCGACAUGCUGUCAAGAACUGCGCUUCCUUUGAAGGAGUGUGAGAUCUUCCAGAUUCAAUGAGAAGCAAUAGCAUAAUAUACUCUGGAAGUCAUCAGCCCAGCAGAGACAUUGAAUCUAACAGAGAAGUGUAAAGAACAUAUGUUUUUAUUUCUGUUGGACUGUGGAUUAAAAUUACAAUGGUUAUAGUUUGAAGGACAUGUCUACUGGAACAGUGUGAGGGAUAUAUACAACGUUGCUAUCCUAGAACAGAGUGUGCCAUGAAACACAGGAUGGUGCCAAGGAGGAGUCCGGUCAAAUGGGGAACUGCCUGGCAACAAUAUUUUAAUUGGCUCCUGACCAGGUGACCAGGGUUUGAGAGAGAGCAAUGCAGCAGAAUAACUCCUAGCCCGAAUGAAAAAAGACCUAAACCAUCUCCUGUGUAUGUCAGAUUUCAGUAAUUCUAGAAUAAUAGCUCGCUGGCUUUUUCUCCUCAUAUCUCUAUAACCUGCUCUCUCUCUGAAAACUCCUAUCAAAAGGCAAAGGGGAAAAUCACUGUUAGAGACAUUG